GUUAGUGGCGAAAGGGUGAGGAAUAGAUAGGAACGUACCCUGUGCUCUGGGAGAGCGUGUGAAGCUUCGGCUUCUUCCGAAAGGGGCGGUAAUACCAGAUAAUGUCCUUCGGGACCAAAGAUUUAUCGGCAUUGGAGCGGNCUAUCUCCUAUCAGCUUGUUGGUGAGGUAACGGCUCACCAAGGCAACGACGGGUAGCGGGACUGAGAGGUUGGCCCGCCACAUCGGGACUGAGACACUGCCCGGACCUCCACGGAGGGCUGCAGUAACGGAUAUUGGGCAAUGGGCGAAAGCCUGACCCAGCAAUGCCGCGUGCAGGAUGAAGCCCCUAGGGGUGUAAACUGCUGUCAGGGGUCAGAAAGCUGGUUUCGGCCAGUUGAUCAACCCCAGAGGAAGUCACGGCUAACUUCGUGCCAGCAGCCGCGGUAAUACGAAGGUGGCAAGCGUUAUUCGGAAUCAUUGGGCUUAAAGGGCACGCAGGCGGAACAGUGUGUGUUGUGUGAAAUCCCCCGGCUUAACCGGGGAAUUGCACAGCAAACUGCUGUUCUUGAGGCAGGUAGGGGUGCAUGGAACUCUUGGUGGAGCGGUGGAAUGCGUAGAUAUCAAGAGGAACGCCAGAGGUGAAGACGGUGCACUGGGCCUGUCCUGACGCUGAGGUGCGAAAGCGUGGGGAGCGAACGGGAUUAGAUACCCCGGUAGUCCACGCCGUAGACGAUGUCUACUAGGUCGUGGGUGUUCUGA
rnacentral:rRNA from 1 species